UACGUAGGUGACAAGCGUUGUCCGGAUUUACUGGGCGUAAAGAGCGCGCAGGCGGUCGAUCAAGUCGAGUGUGAAAGCCCCCGGCUCAACUGGGGAGGGUCAUUCGAUACUGAUCGACUCGAAGGCAGGAGAGGGUAGUGGAAUUCCCGGUGUAGUGGUGAAAUGCGUAGAUAUCUGGAGGAACACCGGUGGCGAAGGCGGCAUCCUGGACCAAUAUUGACGCUGAGGAGCGAAAGCCAGGGGAGCAAACGGG
rnacentral:rRNA from 1 species